UACAGAGGUCUCAAGCGUUGUUCGGAUUCAUUGGGCGUAAAGAGCGUGUAGGCGGCCUGGUAGGUCUGCUGUGAAAACUCGAGGCUCAACCUCGAGAUGUCGGCGGAAACCAUCUGGCUAGAGUCCGGAAGAGGAGAGUGGAAUUCCUGGUGUAGCGGUGAAAUGCGCAGAUAUCAGGAAGAACACCUAUGGCGAAGGCAGCUCUCUGGGACGGUACUGACGCUGAGACGCGAAAGCGUGGGGAGCGAACAGG
rnacentral:rRNA from 1 species